UUUGUUUUCCCCUCUCUCCAGUGCCAUCCCCUUUGUUCUCUCUAUUAAAAAACCUCUGAUCUUCUCAAAUCUUCUCCUGUACUCCUCCUAUAUAUCUCUACUACUACUGCGCUUCCUCAUAUCAUAUUUGAUCUUCAACAUUUUCUCUUCAUCUCAAUCCACUUCGUGCUUCCUUCAUUCUUGAAGAUCAAUUGCAUCAAUACUUUAUAUUUGAUCUUCAGAUCUUCAGAUAUAGGUGGGAUCUAGGGUUUUUACGGUCAACAAUUUCAUUUCUACCGUUGCUGCAGUUCAGAUACAGUUCAAAUGGAGGCUCUGCUCAUCACAACUGUUGAUACUGAAUGAAGAUGUGCAUCUGAUUGUAAUGAAGAAACAGAGCCGAGAGUUAGGGCAAACUUAAAGAGAGAUCGAGCAGGUAAAUCAUGCCAGAAGUCACCAUAUGCCCCUUCCUUUAAUGUAAAAUUUGUUAC